GCCAGCAGCCAUUUCACUCUGCAACUCACAACUGGCAACCCACUAAAACUAAGCAGGUGUGAGCCUGGUCAGUACCUGGAUGGGAGACCCCCUAGGAUAAACUAAGGUUACUGCUGGAA
rnacentral:rRNA from 1 species